GGUAGGGUAUCCAAGUGGCUAAAGGAUGCGGACUGUAAAUCCGCCCGCUUCGGCGUUCGUCGGUUCGAAUCCGACCCCUACCACCA
rnacentral:tRNA from 2 species